AAUAAACGCAGUCAUGAGUUUUCGUGUCCAAUUUUAAUCGUCCGUCUUAUUUUAAUUUUUUUAUGAUUAGUAUUUUUAAUAUUAUUAGAUUAUAAAACAUGAAUUGUACUUUACACGUGACUUAUGUUUUUUUAUUUUUUUAAAAAACAAUUUCAAAUAAGACGAACGAUUAAAGUUAAAAUUAGAAAAAAAAAACUCAUGGCUACAUUUAUU
rfam:Oryza glumipatula chromosome 3, whole genome shotgun sequence.